CCAUAAUCUGAUUGGACUGUAGCUUUAUAAGAGGAAGAGGGAGAGCCAGACUCCUUUCCUACCUCUCUUUCCAGAAGGGCUCAAGGACCAGGAUAAGAAAAUCUUGAUGGAAGUAAUAUCGAGAUGCUUUCCUGCCAAACUGUAAGAGGUGGUUAACGCCGACUCUGAUGGCUCCGCUUAUGAGAGGAAUUAACAAAAGGACAAACAACGAGCCUUUGCAAAGGAACGGUUCCCCAGUGUCUGCUGAAGAGAAGGGAGAGGAACCACCCAUGUGGGAACCGUGUUGCAUAUUGACCAGGCAAAAAAGAAAAAUCGUGAAAGAGACAGCAGGCGAGGAGGCGUAGCCAUGCGAGAGAGGGAUCUAUUCUGACAAGACCGUAGUAGAAGGCCUCAAAUCUCUCCAGGGGCCACCUGUUACUCUCAAGAUCCAUUCCAAGCUCAUCCACCGCAUCAUUAAAGCCUUCCAGGAAAUGCCAUCUGCACGUAUCACUGGCCAAAGCUCCCAAUUCUCGGCCCCGUACGCCUUAUACUCCAGGCACAUCGUGUACACGCACUGCUUUCUUUCUUUGCCUAGGACCAGAUCCACUGCGGAGAAAUCCAACGAAAGCCUCUAAAAGGAAGUAACAGUCAUCACACCCUUCUUUAUGUGGCAGCUCUAGGGUCCGUAGGCACGUGCGCCCUGAAAGGCAGGCAGAAGCUGUCUUGCCUUUUACGACCCAGCUCCUGAGUCUUCGAGCAUCUCUUCUUUAGGGCUCAAUUAACUGGAGUACUCACAAAGGCCUGCCCAGUUUUAAGGGGAGGGAACCUCAAUACCACCUCUUAGAGGGGUUAAGGGUGGGACAUGAUUCUGGGAGAGCAUCAGAGGCUGGAAGUAUGUCGAAGUCGUUUUUGUAAAACACAGUUUGCCCCGGGGGAGGGAGUAUAGAUUAUUGUUCUAAGAAGUUUGACUAAGAAAAGAGGGACAGAAAGAUAAGAGAACAAAACAGGAUCAAAGUAAAUUUUCUUUGGCCUGGACGUGUGAGUGCACCCCUGGCAGAUGGAGUCAUCUGGAAACGAACCGAGGCAGUCUGCUCAAGAGUUUGCUCUCUCAACCACCUUGCUGCAGAGCAGGGAUGGCCAGACCAGGUCCCAAGAACCAAAUACAGCCCACUGCCCGUGUUUGUAAGCCCAUGAAUGAAGAAAAGAUUUUAGGGUUUCACAUGUCUGCAAAAAUAAAUAUUUUGUGACCUGUGAAAAUUGUUGUUUUCAGCAUCCAUAAAUAAAAUGACCGAACAGAGGAGCGCUCACUCAUUUAUACAUUGUCCGUGGCGUCCAGGCUCUUCUGGUGGAUUGAGUAGCUACAACAGAGAGCGUGUGGCCCACACAGCCUAAGAUAAUUUAUCUUCCUCUUCGUGAAAGUUUUUGCCAACCCCUGAGAUAGCGUGUCUCUCGUAGGCCCAUUCGUGUCUUUAUACGCAAGAUGAAUGUGAGUUUCUUAAAACUGGAGGGUCCCUUUCACAUGAGCAUGACAAAAACAAAACAAAACACCUCCAGAUCCCAUGACUUCCUGGCUGGCAUUCUAUAGGGGUAUGGAAAGAGUGGCUCUGUGUUUGCCUUUAUUCCUGGUCAAUAUUGACUUGCACUUUAUCAUUUAUAUAGCAUUUUAGACCUAAGUUUUUGCAUGUUGUGGCUACUUUCUCAUUUG